rnacentral:rRNA from 1 species
UACGUAGGUGGCAAGCGUUGUCCGGAAUUAUUGGGCGUAAAGCGCGCGCAGGCGGUUUUGUAAGUCUGAUGUUAAAACCCCGGGCUCAACCUCGGUUCGCAUUGGAAACUGUGUAACUUGAGUGCAGAAGAGGAAAGUGGUAUUCCACGUGUAGCGGUGAAAUGCGUAGAUAUGUGGAGGAACACCAGUGGCGAAGGCGACUUUCUGGUCUGUAACUGACGCUGAGGCGCGAAAGCGUGGGGAGCAAACAUG